rnacentral:vault_RNA from 1 species
GGGCUGGCUUUAGCUCAGCGGUUCCUUCACUAAUGUUUCAACAACCUCUUUGUGGAGCCAAAGUGGUUCAAGACCCGCGGGCGGGCGCUCUCCAGCCCUUUA